UACGGAGGGAGCUAGCGUUGUUCGGAAUUACUGGGCGUAAAGCGCACGUAGGCGGCUAUUCAAGUCAGAGGUGAAAGCCCGGGGCUCAACCCCGGAACUGCCUUUGAAACUAGAUAGCUUGAAUCCAGGAGAGGUGAGUGGAAUUCCGAGUGUAGAGGUGAAAUUCGUAGAUAUUCGGAAGAACACCAGUGGCGAAGGCGGCUCACUGGACUGGUAUUGACGCUGAGGUGCGAAAGCGUGGGGAGCAAACAGGGAUUAGAUACCCUGGUAGUCCACGCCGUAAACGAUGAUAACUAGCUGUCAGGGCACAUGGUGUUUUGGUGGCGCAGCUAACGCAUUAAGUUAUCCGCCUGGGGAGUACGGUCGCAAGAUUAAAACUCA
rnacentral:rRNA from 1 species